UUUUUGCAUUACUGCAUCAUUUUUAUAAUCGGUGUAUAAUAUGAUAUACAUGCACCUGUCCCGCGUAUACCUGUAUUUUAAAUCAGUCCAACUCCCUGCCAUCGUUUUGCCUGUCAUACCGCGAUAAAAACGAGUUAUAGUUGAGAGAUGCGAACAAUAUUUUCGUCGGCCUGUCCCUACCUCGUCGGUUUAAUUGUUAAUUCUUUUUCUUCCUAGAUUCUGGUUCGCACUGAUUUUAUUACCAUUUGGGACACACCUGAGUAUCAGCGAAAAAAUUUUAAUCGCCAAGUUCAACUUUCGUCCAGCUGUGCAGGCUUUCGCUGCUUCUUUUCGUCAACUUCUGGCUGCUCCUGAGGCGCUGCGAAGAACCAAGGGGAUAGGAUCUUGCUCCACAGCAUCCAUGCCCCGCGCAAUGGAGCCUGAAAAUAUGUAAUACGUAAUGGAACAUCCAGGGAAGAGAAAAAUC
rnacentral:lncRNA from 1 species